UCAAGCAAUGUCUAUUUAUUUACUGGCAUCAUAUACUGCUUCCAUCAGUGUUAGCUCUGUUGAUUUACAUUUUUAUAAAUAAGGUUAAAAUGCAGUAUUAAUAACAGCACAAUAUAAUACAAAACACGGGGGAGCCGAGGAAUAUAAAAAUAAUAAUCCCAUUUCAUAAACUCCAAAAUUACAAGAAGGAACAAUUCACCAAAAUUCUGGAACUAAGAUUCGCUGAAUUCUGGAACUAAGAUUUGCUUUUGAUGAUCAUUCUAAAGCAGUGUAAGAGCUAUCUGAAUCUCAUGAAUCUCUCAUUGUUUCAAAGCAGUUGAAAAGAUCUACCUCUGAAGGUGGAAAUUGUCUUUCCAGCACCAGAUUCUCCACUAGCAAGAAAAAUCAAUCAUCAGGCCUUGAAGCAGACUUACCAGUUAGCAUGAACUGAUAUGCAUUGUCAGAGAUGGAGAAGAUGUGGGGAGGGGCCUCGGAACGCUUUUUCCCUCGAUAACCAGAUACCACCUCUGGAUUGUACACAGGCAACAAUUUGUAUGGAUUAAUAGUGACACAGAAGAGGCCUGAAUAGGUCUGCAUGGAAACCAAAAAUAGUGGUUAAAAUCUGCCCUCUUUGAGAUUUCGGUCCUGGUACGAGGUUUUGCUACCCAUUAAGAAGCAGAAAAAAAAAAAAGAAGAAAAUCAGUUGAAGUCCUAACAUGAAGUUCUCUGUCCUUAAAAGAUAUGUAAUGUUCCAUCUCCAAAUUUUUCUCACAAGACUCCUGUGGGAUAUGUUACACUGAGGGUAUAUGACUUCCCAAAAUCACCCAGUGGAUUUUUAUGGGGCUGAGGGAUACCUUUGUCCUACAAUGAACUGAUUCCUCACUUUCACUUUUGAAUUGUAUAUAGCACAAAGCCCUGGAUACUGGCAUGCCCCCUCGAAUCUAUUUUGGCAUUCCCAUAAAAGUGUGUGUUCUUCUUGCUCUUCUCGCUCUGGUUUGAUUGGCUACAAAGAAGCCCACCUGUGCUGUCCUUCUCCUUUGGAAUGUCUCAAGUCUUUCGUCUUCAUCUGGCACAUUGUCAUUCCAUUGGUCAAGGUCCUUUUUCUGGCACUCUGUGUUGCAUACCAGGAAUGCAAUCGCUUCUCAAGGAGACAAAUGGAUUUCAUUCCAAAGGAGCUUCUAUCAUGAUGCCCUGGCGUAGGAUGGCAUAGGCAAAACAUUGAAGGGAGGGGGCGUUUAGGAGGAACUAUUCUCAAGAGAUCCUAUUUUAUGGUGAAAAGGUUUGCAUUCAAAAUAGAUGUUUAAAAUUAGAUGCGUAAUAGCAAUCAAAGAAAAAAUGUUGAUGAUGCUCCGUGCUCUUGAUAAUUCAGUGCCCGCUGUAGCAAUUUUGCUAUGACUAAAACCUCCAUCUAAGAUUUUGCUAUUAUAGGCUCUGCAUUAAUACAUAAAAUCUCCGCCCAUGUGCCAGUGUCCUUGCAUCACUGAAAUGAAGAUGGCUUUAAUGAUGGAAGUUAUUUGCUUGCAUAUCCUCUUCAGAAAUAGGAUUGCAACUUCAAUGUCUUUUUAAAACUGCCCAGGCCAGACUGAACAUUCUUUUUUUUUUGGAAGAAAAAGGCACAGUUGAACUAAUUUUCAGGACUAAUACUCCGAAAAAUCAAAUUUUAUAAAUAUUAUGACAGUACCUCACAAUGCAGCAAGGGCUUGUAACAGUCUAACAUUUGGUGAUACAAUUGUGCAAAGCUUUGGCUUAGAUGUGAUGUUCUGUCAUUUUAUAAUAAUUGUUGGUAAUGAGCUUUAUGUACCAAUCUACAAUAUUGUCUUUUUUCUUAUUUAUAAUGCUGAUCAAAGACGCUAAUAAAUAAAUGUGUUUCAAUGAUAAUAAAUCAUAGCUACCAAACACUUUUAGGUAACAUAAAAUGCACCAACUUGUCAUAUAGUCCUCGAUUUAUGAUCACAAUUGAGCCCAAAAUUUCUGUUGUUAAAUGAGACAUCCGUUAAGUAUGUUUUGCCCCAUUUUAUGACCUUUCUUGCCUCUGUUGUUAAGUAAACCCAUGCAAUUGUUAAAUUAGUAACAGGGUUGCUAAGGUAAUCUGGCUUCCCCAUUGACUUUGCUUAUCAGAAGGUGAUAAAAGGGAUCACAUGACACAGCAAUCAUCAUCACUAUGAACCAGUUGCCAAGCAUCUGAGUUUUGAUCACAUGAUCAUGGGGAUGUUGCAGAGGUUGUAACUGAAAAAUGGCCAUAAGUCACUUUUUUUUUCAGUGCCAUUCAGUGGUGGGUUGCUCCCAGUUCAGUCCAGUUCUUGCGAACUGGUAGUAAUGGUGGUAGGAGGCUCCACCCAUCUGCCCUGAUGUCAUCACUCAUGAUCUGCGCAUGCGCAGAAACGCCCGCGUGCGCUCCCAUUGCGAACCGGUAGUAAAGGUAAGUGGAACCCACCCCUGGUGCCAUUGUAAUUUUGAACGGUCACUAAAUAAACUGUUGUAAGUCGAGGACUACCUGUACACAUCUAGGAACAGUUUUUGUAACUGGUUCUUUAACCAGAAGGUGAUUCCAUCUGGCACAUGUGAAGCUUGCUUUCCUACCUUACACUGACUGCCACUUUACUUAUAUUGUCUUUGAGUUCAACUCUUCUUAAUCCUAUCCAGAUAUAAAUUUAAAAUGCCUAUUGUUACUGGACCAGUUGAUAAUGAAGGAGAAAAAGAGGUGUCAGUAGCAUAGUUCUUUGAUGAUCUCUGCUAGAUGCUUCAUUUAGUUUUUAAACGGACACCAGAAUACAGUCCUAAGAAAAAACCCUGAGAUCUGCAUGUAAUCUACAAAAGCUGUUGUAACUGAUAGAACAGAAACUAAUGCAAAAGAACUCCUUACAUUCUUAAAGCAUUCUAAUUAUAAGCAUUUGUGUGCAUAAGUAGCAUGAAAUUUUCAUAAAGUUCAUAUUCCACAGGCUAUCCUAAAGCAAGCAUAUAUCAAUAAAACAAAGAAAUGUCAAUCUUGAAACCCAGCUUAAAUCAAAAUGGAAAUGGUAAAGUUGAUAGUUCCAUGGUACAGCAUGAUUUUUAUUUUGAAGGCUCCGGCAUAGAAGCUUACUGUUGGAAGGAGCUAUUUAGCCUAUUGAGACCAAUCCUCAGUAUGAGUCCAAGCAUCCCUGACAGAUGGCUGUCUAGACUCUGCUUGAACACCUGCAUUUAAAUAUUCUAUGUUGAAUGUCGUGGGGCACUUUGUCAAAUAUUUUCCUGAAAUCAAGAUAUGGUAGAUUUACAAUCUGUUAAGGAAGCUAGUAAAAAUUAAGAACCAGUUUCGUCUAGUGGUUAAGGUACCAGACUAGAAACUGGGAGACUGUGAGUUCUAGUCCCGCCUUAACCAUGAAAGUCAGUUGGGUAGCCUUGGGUCAGUCACUUUAUCUCAGCCCAACCCACCUCUCAGGAUUGCUGUUAUGGGGAAAAUAGAAGAAGAAAGUUAUGUUGGAUAUGUUUGCUGAGGCUCUGCUUUUUCUUCCUUAUGUAUUAGUGAUAUAAGAUAAUAUUUGUAACAAAGGGUUAAACUGUGUAGUCCUUGGUGCUCUCUGAGCUUGGUGGUUUUCUUGCAGAUGUUUCAAUACCCAACUAGGUAACAUCAUCAGUGCUAGAAAGGAGUGGGAGUUGCUCUUAUUUUUAUGUAUUAGUGGCUUGUCCAAUCAUUGUUGGUAGGAAUAGUCUUGGUGAUUCCUUGAUUAGAUGGUUUGUUUGUUUGUCUGCAUUGGAGUCAGUUUCCAAUCAAGGAAUUACCAAAUGAUGAAUUUGCUAAAUGCAUACUUUUUUAUAUAUUUUAUAAAAUUUACACAUUUUUAUGCAUUCAUAUGAACUUUUGUUGAGAUUUGAAAUGGAGGAAAAGCAAAAUAAAGAAUGUAUAGUAAAAUGGGCCAAGAAUUUUGGUGAUAAUAUUCAAAUGGAUCAAUGGGAAAGAAGAUAAAAGACCUGAAAUUCACAUUGUAUUACAAUUUAAAUAAAACUUAUUAUAAACUUA